rnacentral:lncRNA from 1 species
UGAUACUAUCAAUAGUAUAGUAACCGAACUCUCUCUCUCUCUCUCUCUCUCUCUCUCUCUCUAUAUAUAUAUAUAUAUAUAUAUAUAUAGAUAUAUAUACAUAAAUACAUAUAUAUACACACAUAAAUACAUAUAUAUACAUACAUACAUAUAUAUAGAGUUGAGCUAGAAUACUCUCGAGAGUAAACGGGUCCGUUUACUCUCGAGUUGUUUUCGAUGAUAGAGCCUCCAAAUUGACAAUCGGCUCCGUUAAAUAUGAUCUAAACCAUUUAAACUAUCUAGAAAUCAGAUUUCACGCACUUUCGAUAUUGUUUUAUAUCCAUCUAGUGAACAGAAAAAUGAAUGGCUGAAAAUGAAUAUUCUUUAAAAAAUGAUAAUAGGAGUAUUGUAAUCAAGAUCAAGAGUAUAGAUCUUGUUUUAAAUAGUUUAAAAAAUUUUCUAACAAAAAUUCAAUUGAUUUGGAUAUCUUUACACCGUUAAACGAGAAAACGUCUCUUAUCCACCAUUAAAAUUACAAAUUUUGAAACCCUUUGAUCAUUAGGCAAAUGAUGUCGAAAAGAUUUGAAAUUUGAUUUCUAAACACUUCAAGUGGUAUAAAUCAUGUUCAACGGNA